rnacentral:rRNA from 1 species
AACGUAGGUGGCGAGCGUUAUCCGGAUUUACUGGGCGUAAAGAGGGCGCAGGUGGCUUUUCAAGUCGGAUGUAAAAUCUCCCGGCUUAACUGGGAGGAACCAUUCGAUACUGUUAAGCUAGAGUGCAACAGGGGGAAGCAGAAUUCCCGGUGUAGUGGUGAAAUGCGUAGAUAUCGGGAGGAAUACCAGUGGCGAAGGCGGCUUCCUGGGUUGUUACUGACACUUAAGCCCGAAAGCGUGGGGAGCAAACAGGAUUAGAUACCCGCGUA